UACGUAGGGUGCAAGCGUUAAUCGGAAUUACUGGGCGUAAAGCGUGCGCAGGCGGCUUUGCAAGACAGAUGUGAAGUCCCCGGGCUUAACCUGGGAACUGCAUUUGUGACUGCAUGGCUAGAGUGCGGCAGAGGGGGAUGGAAUUCCGCGUGUAGCAGUGAAAUGCGUAGAUAUGCGGAGGAACACCGAUGGCGAAGGCAAUCCCCUGGGCCUGCACUGACGCUCAUGCACGAAAGCGUGGGGAGCAAACAGG
rnacentral:rRNA from 1 species